rnacentral:rRNA from 1 species
UAGGGAAUCUUCGGCAAUGGACGAAAGUCUGACCGAGCAACGCCGCGUGAGUGAAGAAGGUUUUCGGAUCGUAAAACUCUGUUGUUAGAGAAGAACAAGGACGUUAGUAACUGAACGUCCCCUGACGGUAUCUAACCAGAAAGCCACGGCUAACUACGUGCCAGCAGCCGCGGUAAUACGUAGGUGGCAAGCGUUGUCCGGAUUGAUUGGGCGUAAAGCGAGCGCAGGCGGUUUCUUAAGUCUGAUGUGAAAGCCCCCGGCUCAACCGGGGAGGGUCAUUGGAAACUGGGAGACUUGAGUGCAGAAGAGGAGAGUUGAAUUCCAUGUGUAGCGGUGAAAUGCGUAGAUAUAUGGAGGAACACCAGUGGCGAAGGCGGCUCUCUGGUCUGUAACUGACGCUGAGGCUCGAAAGCGUGGGGAGCAAACAGG